rnacentral:rRNA from 1 species
UACAGAGGGGGCAAGCGUUGUUCGGAAUUACUGGGCGUAAAGGGCGCGUAGGCGGCCUUCUAAGUCGAACGUGAAAUCCCCGGGCUCAACCCGGGAACUGCGUCCGAUACUGGAAGGCUUGAAUCCGGGAGAGGGAUGCGGAAUUCCAGGUGUAGCGGUGAAAUGCGUAGAUAUCGGGAGGAACACCUGAGGCGAAGGCGGGCUACUGGGCCGAUACUGACGCUGAUGCGCGAAAGCCAGGGGAGCAAACGGG